AUGGCAUGGCCAUCUGUGCUGUUAGAAAGAGACUCUUUUCUCAUCACCUACCUGUCUCCCUCAUUCCAGAGAUUCUUGGCUUAGGCGAGUCAGGUGCCUCACUUUUCUGGGCGCGUUGCCACCACCUGGAUGCUUGAGAACAAUCUCAAAGGGAACACAUCCACCAGUGAAGCCGUGGCUGAUGAAAUUAUUUAAAAAAAAAAAGCUUUCUGAAAAUGGUGGAGAAAAGCUGGCCACAGGUAUGGAAACCCUCCAGAAACUGUGCUUUCUUCUAUUAAGCUAAAUAAAAACUUUCGGAGGAGAGCAAUUGAAGCUGAAGGAAGCUCCCUCUUCAGUCGCUAUACCAGGAAGUGGAAAUGAAGUCGCUCGGCUCUGCUCUCAACUUUAUUUACUCUAAAAGGCAUUUCUAUAAAAAGCUGCAAAACCAAGGGGUCUGAGAUCUGACACCUGAAAUGGCUGCAGUCACACAAAGGCACCCCUUUUCCUGUCUCUUGCUGAUUGACCUACCCAUCCUGCCUUUCAGUACACAGCCCAUAAGUCUGUAUUUAGGGCGAUGGCCAGCUGUAUACCGUACACACACUCAAAACACUCCUCUCUCUGCUCUUGGACAGCUUCCCCUGUGAGUUUGGUAUUAGAACUCAGGACUGUAUUCCUGUCUUUCCUCUGCCAUUAUCCUAUCUGUAGGAUAUUGUAUACUUUCUGGGACCUUUCUGAUGUUUCUUGCUCUAUAAAAUACUCAACAAUAAUGGCAGCUAAUAUUGAGUACUUGCUGUCUGCCAGAUAUUAUUCUAAGUGUUCUCUGUGUAGAUGCAUCAAUUCUUUUAAAACCUCACCACAAUCUUACAAAGGAGGUAUUUUUGCAAGAGAGGAAAUGGAAGCAAAAUUUCUCCCCGGUGGUAAACGGUUCAAUGGACUUGAACUCAGAGCCUACAUGCUUAACCAUAAACGACUCUGAUUUCUCUGAAUAUGUGGUUUGUAACAUAUGCCAGUACAAUCAAUUCUCAUUAUUUGCAGUAGUCGCGUUCUGUAAAGUCAUUGCAAACACUGAAACAGCGAAUACGGAACCAUUGCUCCCCGGGGAAAUAAGGAGUUAGGUUCCUAAGAGCCUCUGGUGACAUCUUUUUUUGUCAACCAAUCAAUACAUGACUGGUUUAACGUGUGUUUCUGUUUAAAGACAUCUAUGUAAUAUAUAUUGUUGAUUCAUUAAUAUGGAACUCCUGGCCAACAGCACUGCAACUCGUGCCUGAAGCAAGCUUUCAUAACCUAUUUGCUCCAUAAGUUCCUUGCACUUAGGAACACUAGGCAGGGCUUCCACAUGCCUCCAGGGGGCCUUUUUAAACAGCAAAAUCACUGGCAAAAACCACAAAAACAUGAAAAACAUGGCACUCAAUAGACCAUGAAAAAGACACGUGUUUCCAGUAUCAGAGCUGAAACAAGGCGACAGAGAACCACCUUGGUCCACCUCACCUGGGAAUGCACGUUGGGCAACUCAAAUGUUUUGCUGUUCUGUACAUCCGCCAAUGACUCCAGAAGCAAUCAUGAGCAUUGAUUUGGGGGUUACAAGUAAAUUUCAGAGGGUAGGAGAAUUCACAGAUAUGGAAUCUGUGAAUAAUGAAGAUCUACUGCACACAAUAGUUGGAGGAAAAUCUCAGGAGAUCUUAAAACAAGAGUAGAACUAGAAGUUGGGUUGAGGGGAGCACAGCUCAGGCAGGGACACUCUUAGGGGCAAAAGCACUGAGCUGUCCCACUGUCUUCCUGAAUUAAAGAAAGAAAAUGAAACAUUCCGGUCACUCCACAUGGCCAGCGAGGUUCCAUAUCUCAGAAAUACCUGUAUAUGUUGACCCCUCAUCUUGGAUUUUAGAAAGAUGUUUUCAUUCAUAAAUACAUGACUUCUAUGUCUACAACUUAUAUUUCUCGUUCUCUGCAAUGGAUUAGAAUGGCAUUUGCGUAGCAGGUAUUAAAUCAUAUUUUCUUUAGGGAGAAAGUAAACAAUUGGUGGGGAAAAAAACAGUGGAGAUUCAUCCAUUCCUGCACCCACGCUCUAGCUCCUGUGGUUUGUAAGCUGAGGAGUAGAGGUGUCUGAGUGGCGGGUGGGGGCCAAUCCGGGUUUCUGGCGAGCUUCUUCAUAAUCAGGCAACUCAGAGACAGUCUGUGGACCCACAGCAUUGGCGUUACCUGGGAGUUUGUUACAAAGCCAGACACUCAGCCCCCGCCCCAAAGCUGCUGAAAUUGAAUCUGCAUGUUAACGAGAUCCAAAUGUGCUUCCCGUAUAAAUUAAAGUGAGAGAAGUAGACCUUUGCAAAACCAGGCACCGAUCCUAGCAUCGCCUCGCAAUACCAAGCACCUGUUAAUUCUCUUCUGCCCCCUGUAAUCAUAACUCUCACCACAGCUUUUGCAUAAUGCGAAGGUCGC